UCGAACGGAGUCGUUUUGGAAAUCUCUUCGGAGAUGGAAUUCUCGACUUAGUGGCGGACGGGUGAGUAACGCGUGAGCAAUCUGCCUUUAAGAGGGGGAUAACAGUCGGAAACGGCUGCUAAUACCGCAUAAAGCAUUAAAUUCGCAUGUUUUUGAUGCCAAAGGAGCAAUCCGCUUUUAGAUGAGCUCGCGUCUGAUUAGCUGGUUGGCGGGGUAACGGCCCACCAAGGCGACGAUCAGUAGCCGGACUGAGAGGUUGAACGGCCACAUUGGGACUGAGAUACGGCCCAGACUCCUACGGGAGGCAGCAGUGGGGAAUAUUGCGCAAUGGGGGAAACCCUGACGCAGCAACGCCGCGUGAUUGAAGAAGGCCUUCGGGUUGUAAAGAUCUUUAAUCAGGGACGAAACAAAUGACGGUACCUGAAGAAUAAGCUCCGGCUAACUACGUGCCAGCAGCCGCGGUAAUACGUAGGGAGCAAGCGUUAUCCGGAUUUACUGGGUGUAAAGGGCGCGCAGGCGGGCCGGUAAGUUGGAAGUGAAAUCUAUGGGCUUAACCCAUAAACUGCUUUCAAAACUGCUGGUCUUGAGUGAUGGAGAGGCAGGCGGAAUUCCGUGUGUAGCGGUGAAAUGCGUAGAUAUACGGAGGAACACCAGUG
rnacentral:rRNA from 1 species